rnacentral:rRNA from 1 species
GAUGAACGCUAGCUACAGGCUUAACACAUGCAAGUCGAGGGGUAACGAGAGGAAAGCUUGCUUUCCUUGUCGACGACCGGCGCACGGGUGAGUAACGCGUAUCCAACCUGCCCCCAACUAGGGAAUAACCUUGCGAAAGUAAGACUAAUACCCUAUAAUUUCCUCAGAUGACAUCUGACGAGGAAUAAAGAUUUAUCGGUUGUGGAUGGGGAUGCGUCUGAUUAGCUUGUUGGCGGGGUAACGGCCGACCAAGGCAACGAUCAGUAGGGGUUCUGAGAGGAAGGUCCCCCACAUUGGAACUGAGACACGGUCCAAACUCCUACGGGAGGCAGCAGUGAGGAAUAGUGGUCAAUGGGCGGAAGCCUGAACCAGCCAAGUAGCGUGCAGGAUGACGGCCCUAUGGGUUGUAAACUGCUUUUAUACAGGAAUAAAGUUAGCCACGUGUGGUUAUUUGUAGGUACUGUAUGAAUAAGGACCGGCUAAUUCCGUGCCAGCCGCCGCGGUAA